AUAAUAUAGGGGAGGGAGGAGGUUACAGAGAGGAGUCGAUCAUUGGUGAUGAUGGUGUUGGUAGUGGCGAAUGAUGGUUGCGUGGAAGGGACUUCUCAUGAUUAAGGAAUUAGGGUAUUUUAAUUUAAUAACGAACUUUAGAACGAAAAAGGGAAGAAACAGCAAUACAAAAUCCAUUAAUGCGCACAGUCGGGCUUUCUGUUUUUGAUCUCUCUUCUUCUAUACUGCUCUGUGCUUUCUAGUUUUUUAUAAGAACGCUGCCUUUGC
rnacentral:misc_RNA from 1 species